rnacentral:lncRNA from 1 species
GGGUUCCAGCUGGACGGCAGGACGCGGGGCCGCGCCGCGAGGAGCGCUGGGUGGCACACGCGGUGCCCAGGCCGCUCCUGUGCGUCCCCGCGGAUGGCCAGCUCCAACAGCUGUGCGAGUAAAGGUGACCUGAGCUGAGGGUCACGUGCACGACCCGCAUCAGAAAAUAACCCCAAAACGCGUAGCUCACUUCAGAACGUUAAAGCAGAGGAAGGCUGCCCCUUCUUGCUCUCGCGCGUAGGAGACGCAGCAGUGCAGCCGUUUUUGGCCGACAAGACAGGACAGCAUCCUACCUCCGGGGGCGGCAAAGGGGCCCGUGGCGGGUCCUGGCACGCGUGUCUUCUCUGGUCUUUGGACCUGGGGCAGAGGACGCAGAGCAGAGGCCAGCGGAGGCUGCGGGCCAGCAGGCCCUCUCCGGGAUGCCAGAACGAGCCUCGGACGCGGGCCCGCGGGGUGUAUUUUGGGAGGCCAGCCUCGGGCCGCCGCUGAGAGGGCUGCAGGCUGGCGUCACGGAGACACCACCGGAAGGAAGGCCUGAGAGUUCUGGAGCCCAGCGCCAAGGGCCCAGCCCCGGAAGAGCAGCCGGGCUGCAGCGAGCACUGCUCUCGGGCUGAAAGAAGAAAAACACACGUCUUUGUAAUUCCACUAAGAAGAGCAAGUUUUGGGGGGUAUUGGCCAUGCAUGUAGCAGCUCGAAGUUCCCAGGCCAGGGACAGAAACUGCGCCACAGCAGCAACCCAAUCUGCUGCAGUGACGACGCUGCAUCCUUAACCCAUUGCACCACAAGAGAACUCUGAGAAGUAUCAUGUUCAAGAAACAUACGUGUAUAUGACGCCCAAAAGUUAUUUUAAAAAUAAAUUGUCAGGAGUUCCCGUUGUGGUUCAGUGUUUAGCAAAUCCGAUUAGGAACCAUGAGGUUGCGGGUUCAAUCCCUGGCCUUGCUCAGUGGGUUAAGGAUCUGGGGUUGCUGUGAGCUGUGGUGUAGGUUGCUGACGCAGCUCGGAUCCCGCAUUGCUGUGGCUCUGGUGUAGGCUGGUGGCUACAGCUCUGAUUCGACCCUGAGCCUAGGAACCUCCAUAUGCCUCGGGAGCGGCCCUAGAAAAGGCAAAAAAAGAAAAUAAUAAUAAAAACUGCUAGGAGUUCCCCGGCGGCCUAGCGUUUAAGGACCCGGGGUUGUCACUGCUGUGGCGCAGUGACAGGAUGGGAUCCUGGGCCUGGGAACUUCUGGCAUGCCUCGGCGCGGCUGAAAAGCUAACAAACAAAAAAGUAUCUAGUCAACUGUCAAAUCACUGUAGGAAAGGGAACUGAAGAAAGGCUCUAUGGGUAGGACCAUUUGUUGACUACCUAUUCUGUGCCACACGCUAGCUGAGUAUGGUCCACGCGCCACGCGCAAUCUCAUUACGCGUCACGACAGCCUCAGGAGUGGACGCAUCAUUCCCAAAGUUACAGUUCAGGACGCAAGCCCAAGCAGCACAGCUCGGGAAGUGGCAGAGCCAGGGCGGGAGGAGUAAGAGAUCCACAGUGGCUACCCCUGCCCUGCUUCCGAAAAGAGAGUACCUGCUUCCCUAACUCUGAACCCUGACAGGUGCUGCCAGCCUGCACGGGGCGGGGCUGACACGCACCGAGGAGAGUCGGGGAAACUGGGUCCACCGCCUGCCUACACCCACUUGCAGCGGCGCAAACCGAGGCUCACAGCUCAGCGAAGGAGCAGCUCCCCAACCAGAAAACGCCAAGCCGGACUCCGGAGCAAGGGCCCGAGCUGGGCCCACCGAGGAAGGCUCUCUGGGCUUCGGCCUCUCCACCGCUUCUCUACGCUCAGCACGCGAGAUGCGCUCGAGCCGGACUCGCCGCGCCGCUGGCCACGGCGGUGUCUCCGACAG